rnacentral:rRNA from 1 species
UACGUAGGGUGCGAGCGUUAAUCGGAAUUACUGGGCGUAAAGCGUGCGCAGGCGGUUUUGUAAGCCAGAUGUGAAAUCCCCGGGCUUAACCUGGGAAUGGCAUUUGGGACUGCAAGGCUGGAGUGCGGCAGAGGGAGACUGGAAUUCCUGGUGUAGCAGUGAAAUGCGUAGAUAAUCAGGGAGGAAUACCGAUGGCGGAAAGGCAGGUCUCUGGGCUGACACUGACGCUCAUGCACGAAAGCGUGGG